rnacentral:lncRNA from 1 species
GCCCCACCUCUUCCUCUGAUGAGAUCUGAUUUAGAGAGAGAUUAGAGAGAGAAAAAGAAGGGAAGAGAAAGGUUCUCAUCCCUUCUUAGCUUCCUAAAAGCCUUGAUCCCUUGAUUCAGCAUGAAAGGGUUCAUGCAGCCUUAUGUCUUCUUCUAGAUCUAGAAGAAAAGAUCCAGAUCCAAGCUAAGGAGCAAGGUUUGCAAGGUGCUAAUACUCCGGUGGCUUUAGUAUUUCGAUCAGACCAUCUCCAUGUAGAUACCAGCAG